AAGCCUCAGCGCGCGAAGCGCGCUCGGCAAAGAUCGGCCGGAGGCCGGUCUUUGCCGAGAGGCUUUUAAUCUGUUUUUGCCCCUCUAAAACGGAAGUAACUGUAAACCGGAAAUCGCGGUUUCGAGAUCUCGCGGGUUUUAUGAAUAAAAAACAUAAAUAAACUGAUUUCAAGAGCUAAAAUCGAGAGAAUUCUCAUACAAUAGAUAUUUUAUUAUAAAAGUAAAUGUGUAGUUGAAGUUCUAUAGUAUUUUAGUAGAAAUAUCUGUCGGACAGUUGGAUUCGGUUCGAGAUUAGGCCGGAAAUCGACAAGGUGUCACGGUUGCCAAGUAGUGAAAGCAGGCGCUCGGUGAUAGAGAGGAGAGAGUUUGUUUUGCGGGAACAAUUUGAAAGAUUCAACAAAAAAGAAAAGUUACUGUAAUUACAGGAUGGACAUACACUUAAAGCCACAUACCCCUGUACCGGUAUAUCAAUGUUUACAUUUUGAGCUUUUUACAGUUUUCGGACUUGAUGCAUACCUACCAGAUUGAUGUGAAUCAGAAACUUAAAGAAAAUGUAUAUUUAUGAAAGUAUACGGGGAAUUCCCAAAAAUAAUAACUGUGGCUGCUGGACCAAGUUUUUCUGAAAAUUAGCCCCACAAUGCAACGGCUGGUUUUACAGUCCAUACAAAAUGGUGGAACGCCGCAAGCGUGGAACUGCAAAAACCCAGACAGAUUCUGCCAAAAAAAAAA